AGUUAGAAGCAGCAUUCCAACAAGCAGAUCCACAAGAUGAAUUUGCAAAUAGCAGUUUCCAAACUUUUGAAUUGUUCAACCUGAGCAACAGUUCCAUCUCCAUGAAUACUUCACAUAUUGUUUAUCCUGCUCUUAAAUGUUACCUGAUUCUGCUACUACAAAUCAAUCAAAGAACUGGUGAUUUGUCUUGGGGUCUUAAAUUAAUUUUGAGCAGCUCUGCAAGCUGUGUCCC
rnacentral:lncRNA from 1 species